rnacentral:rRNA from 1 species
GACGUAGGGCGCGAGCGUUGUCCGGAUUUAUUGGGCGUAAAGAGCUCGUAGGCGGCUUGUCGCGUCGUCCGUGAAAACUUGGGGCUCAACCCCAAGCUUGCGGUCGAUACGGGCAGGCUAGAGUUCGGUAGGGGAGACUGGAAUUCCUGGUGUAGCGGUGAAAUGCGUAGAUAUCCGGAGGAACACCAGUGGCGAAGGCGACUUUCUGGCCUGUUCUUGACGCUGAGGCGCGAAAGCUAGGGGAGCAAACGGG